GGAGUACUUCGGUACUUAGUGGCGGACGGGUGAGUAACGCGUGAGAAUCUGCCUUCAGGUUCGGGACAACCACUGGAAACGGUGGCUAAUACCGAAUGUGCAGCAAUGUGAAAAAUUUAUUGCCUGGAGAUGAGCUCGCGUCUGAUUAGCUAGUAGGUGUGGUAAGAGCGCACCUAGGCGACGAUCAGUAGCUGGUCUGAGAGGAUGAUCAGCCACACUGGGACUGAGACACGGCCCAGACUCCUACGGGAGGCAGCAGUGGGGAAUUUUCCGCAAUGGGCGAAAGCCUGACGGAGCAAUACCGCGUGAGGGAGGAAGGCUCUUGGGUUGUAAACCUCUUUUCUCAGGGAAGAAAAAAAUGACGGUACCUGAGGAAUAAGCAUCGGCUAACUCCGUGCCAGCAGCCGCGGUAAUACGGAGGAUGCAAGCGUUAUCCGGAAUGAUUGGGCGUAAAGCGUCCGCAGGUGGCUGUGUAAGUCUGCUGUUAAAGAAUCUGGCUCAACCAGAUAAAGGCAGUGGAAACUACAUGGCUAGAGUGCGUUCGGGGCAGAGGGAAUUCCUGGUGUAGCGGUGAAAUGCGUAGAGAUCAGGAAGAACACCGGUGGCGAAAGCGCUCUGCUAGGCCGCAACUGACACUGAGGGACGAAAGCUAGGGGAGCGAAUGGGAUUAGAUACCCCAGUAGUCCUAGCCGUAAACGAUGGAUACUAGGCGUGGCUUGUAUCGAC
rnacentral:rRNA from 1 species